UACGUAGGGUGCAAGCGUUAAUCGGAGUUACUGGGCGUAAAGCGUGCGUAGGCGGUUUGUUAAGUCUGCUGUGAAAUCCCCGGGCUCAACCUGGGAAUGGCAGUGGAUACUGGCAAGCUAGAGUGUGUCAGAGGAUGGUGGAAUUCCCGGUGUAGCGGUGAAAUGCGUAGAGAUCGGGAGGAACAUCAGUGGCGAAGGCGGCCAUCUGGGACAACACUGACGCUGAGGCACGAAAGCGUGGGGAGCAAACAGG
rnacentral:rRNA from 1 species